rnacentral:misc_RNA from 1 species
GAUGAAGAACGUAGCGAAAUGCGAUAAGUAAUGUGAAUUGCAGAAUUCAGUGAAUCAUCGAAUCUUUGAACGCACAUUGCGCCCGGCAGCAAUCUGCCGGGCAUGCCUGUCCGAGCGUCAUUUCUUCCCUCGAGCGCGGCUAGCCCUACGGGGCCUGCCGUCGCCCGGUGUUGGGGCUCUACGGGUGGGGCUCGUCCCCCCCGCAGUCCCCGAAAUGUAGUGGCGGUCCAGCCGCGGCGCCCCCUGCGUAGUAGAUCCUACAUCUCGCAUCGGGUCCCGGCGAAGGCCAGCCGUCGAACCUUUUAUUUCAUGGUUUGACCUCGGAUCAGGUAGGGUUACCCGCUGAACUUCAGCAUAUCAAUAAGCGGAGGA